rnacentral:rRNA from 1 species
AUGCUGCAGAAGCUGCACGUCCGAGCUCCAAACCUCACUAUGUUUGUGUUCGCUGGUCGUGUGAUACCUAUAUUGCUUGCUGAAUCUGUGAAGAUUUCGGAGGCGACGGUUGACUUGGUCACAUCCUCGGACUGCUUCAAUUAUGUCUUCACUGAUCUUGUCGAUGCUCUUUCGCAUGUUCCAUCCCUCUCCAUAGGCUUCCGAAUUGAAACCAAGGUGAUAAAUUUUGUGAAAAAUCAGACCAUGCUCACAAAUCUGAGACGUCUGGUCCUGAAAAUCGAUAUUGUUGGGUCGCCAGAAGUCACUGGUGGGAUUCUUCGUUUGGCCUAUCUGUUGGAGUUAGCCCCUGCUUUGGAAGAGUUAGUGCUCCAUAUGCAUUGUUUUGACUCUGCAAUCGAUGGUGAACCAAGAGAAGAUGCCUACCGGCCACAUCCCCAUCGUCAUCUCAAGACCAUCAAAAUGACGGGGUUCUAUGGUUUACUUGGUCAGGUUGAGCUAGCACUCUACCUUCUUCGGAAUGCGACAUCCCUCGAGCGUAUGAUCAUAGAUCCGGUGGUGAGGAAUAACUGGCCUAUUCCACCAAUGGGUGGAGCAAAGCAAAACAUAGACCGGGGCACGUCGAUUGCCCUCAAUAAACUUUCGAGGCAAGAGUUCAGAAAAGUCCUUGACAUUCUGUAUUAA